rnacentral:rRNA from 1 species
GACGAACGCUGGCGGCGUGCUUAACACAUGCCAGUCGAACGGAAAGGCCCUGCUUUUGUGGGGUGCUCGAUUGGCGAACGGGUGAGUAACACGUGAGUAACCUGCCCUUGACUUUGGGAUAACUUCAGGAAACUGGGGCUAAUACCGGAUAGGAGCUCCUGCUGCAUGGUGGGGGUUGGAAAGUUUCGGCGGUUGGGGAUGGACUCGCGGCUUAUCAGCUUGUUGGUGGGGUAGUGGCUUACCAAGGCUUUGACGGGUAGCCGGCCUGAGAGGGUGACCGGCCACAUUGGGACUGAGAUACGGCCCAGACUCCUACGGGAGGCAGCAGUGGGGAAUAUUGCACAAUGGGCGGAAGCCUGAUGCAGCAACGCCGCGUGCGGGAUGACGGCCUUCGGGUUGUAAACCGCUUUCGCCUGUGACGAAGCGUGAGUGACGGUAAUGGGUAAAGAAGCACCGGCUAACUACGU